rnacentral:rRNA from 1 species
GCCUACACAUGCAGUCGAGCGGACCAAUGCCCAUUUCAGCUUUGCUGAUUUGAGCAACGGUUAGCGGCGGACGGGUGAGUAACGCGUGGGCAACCUGCCCUGUGCAGGGGGAUAACACAGCGAAAGCUGUGCUAAUACCCCAUAAGACUACGCUAUCGCAUGAUAGAGUAGUCAAAGCUUUAGCGGCACAGGAUGGGCCCGCGUCUGAUUAGCUAGUUGGUGGGGUAACGGCCUACCAAGGCGACGAUCAGUAGCCGACCUGAGAGGGUGAUCGGCCACACUGGAACUGAGACACGGUCCAGACUCCUACGGGAGGCAGCAGUGGGGAAUAUUGCACAAUGGGGGAAACCCUGAUGCAGCAACGCCGCGUGAGCGAAGAAGGCCUUCGGGUCGUAAAGCUCUGUCCUAAGGGAAGAAGUAUGACGGUACCUUAGGAGGAAGCCCCGGCUAACUACGUGCCAGCAGCCGCGGUAAUACGUAGGGGGCGAGCGUUAUCCGGAAUCACUGGGCGUAAAGGGUGCGUAGGCGGCCGAGUAAGCCAGAGGUGAAAGGCUACGGCUUAACCGUAGUAAGCCUUUGGAACUACUUGGCUUGAGUGCAGGAGAGGAGAGUGGAAUUCCUAGUGUAGCGGUGAAAUGCGUAGAUAUUAGGAGGAACACCAGUGGCGAAGGCGACUCUCUGGACUGUAACUGACGCUGAGGCACGAAAGCGUGGGGAGCAAACAGGAUUAGAUACCCUGGUAGUCCACGCCGUAAACGAUGAGUGCUAGGUGUCGGGGGUUCACACCCUCGGUGNCGGAGUUAACGCAAUAAGCACUCCGCCUGGGGGAGUACGGUCGCAAGACUGAAACUCAAAGGAUUUGACGGGGGACCC